rnacentral:rRNA from 1 species
CCUACGGGGGGCAGCAGUGGGGAAUAUUGGACAAUGGGGGCAACCCUGAUCCAGCCAUGCCGCGUGUGUGAAGAAGGCCCUCGGGUUGUAAAGCACUUUCAGUGAGGAAGAACGCCUGGUGGUUAAUACCCAUCAGGAAAGACAUCACUCACAGAAGAAGCACCGGCUAACUCCGUGCCAGAGCCGCGGUAAUACGGAGGGUGCGAGCGUUAAUCGGAAUUACUGGGCGUAAAGCGCGCGUAGGUGGCUUGAUAAGCCGGUUGUGAAAGCCCCGGGCUCAACCUGGGAACGGCAUCCGGAGCUGUCAAGCUAGAGUGCAGGAGAGGAAGGUAGAAUUCCCGGUGUAGCGGUGAAAUGCGUAGAGAUCGGGAGGAAUACCAGUGGCGAAGGCGGCCUUCUGGACUGACACUGACACUGAGGUGCGAAAGCGUGGGUAGCAAACAGGAUUAGAUACCCGAGUAGUC